ensembl:lncRNA
CUAAAGAAUAAAUUAGUGAGAGGCAGAGUGUGUGUGUAUUGCAACCCCCAGGAUUCUUAUUUCUGGGACUGCCUUUUACCUGAUGCUUUGGACACAUUUUCGCUGGCUUGAAUUGAGUGCUUGCCAUCUGCUGUCAGCAUUCACUGCUGAAUAAAAGGGGAGGAAGGGGGAGAGAAAGUGAAAUGAGAGGUUGUGGGGUGGGUGAGGAGUGAGGAAGCUGGAAAAAUAAGAGGAAGCAGCUGGGAGCUGGGAAGUUGGGGAGGGACUUAAUGUAAGGUCAGUAAACAGCUUGCAGAGGACAGGGUCAGGCCCAGGGGUGAAAGGCUAAUUAACUUCUGUCAACUAGUUGAGCAGAGCUUUGUGUGCUUUGUUUUGGAGACUAAAAUUACUUCAGAGGAAACAUCUAGAUUCUCUGAAUCUGAUCCAUUUUCCCUGUGUAUCAUAGUAAAUUGUUCGCCAAGUCAGAAUCUAUCCUGCCCUCUAGGAAUUGUCCUCUUCAGGUCUAGCAAAGAGCUUGUGCCACGGUUCAGGAAAUCAGGGGUGAAAUGCUUCACAUAGUAUGAGUAGAUAGCAGGUGAGCUUUAUGUUUUAGUACACAACUUAAGGAUUAAAGGCUGAGUACAGCUGUUGUCUCUGUAGAGUUUAAAAACCAGCUUGCCAGGUUCCCUGCACCUGCUUAUAUACUGGGCCAGGUGACUGACUGUAGAACUUUAGGCAGCUUCUGUAAUAGUUCAGAGAUCUCUCAGAGUCAAGAAACAUCCUUAAAGAAGCAAAUCCUGGAGCUUGUGCCAGAUCUCACGCUGUCCUGGCCUCGUGUUGCCAUCUCGGCAUUGCUGUCAGGAGUGGAGCCACCUACCCAAAGCUUAGCCUGUUUUGUGAUGCCACAUCAGUGUCUUAGGCCACCACUGCUCAUGUCCCUCCCUCAGGGAGCAUACUCAAAACCGGUGUCGUCAUUUCCUGUUUCUUUCACUGUGAAGAAUAGAGGGAUCCUCAGUUGAAGAUCAAAUUGACCCAAUGAGGCUUUUUUUAAUCUAAGCCACUGAAAGGAAGAGGAAGGAGCACCAAUUCAGAAAGAGGGGGUCAUAAUAUAAGAUCUGCAAUGUAUUAACAUGGUAACUCUUUGAAGACUAAGAAACAGAAUCCUGUUUGAAUUCUGAACUAUGGAGUCUGAGAUGAAGACGAAAUUGACAUGUUUCUGCUGGAAUUUGGGUAAAGAGUGUUUACUCAGUAUGUAUGUUCUUGCUCUGCCCCAGUCUUCACAAGAGCAUCUGGACAGGCAUUAAGCACCAUUUUUAAAUUUUCUUAUUUUUUUGCAACUGGAUCAUUUUUGUGGUAAUGGAGAUAGAUGACUGCUAGCACUGUGUGUGUAGUGUCAUUAUAUCCCUGUCUAACCAGUGGAAUGUAGUGGGUGGAGGCUAUACCACUGGAAAGAGCUUUUCCUUUGUACCAGAGUACCUGCUUGUGUAAGGAUUUAUGGUUUUGACUAUUAGCAUGAUGUCACUGCACUAAGCUUGCUAGAUUGGUUCAGGCCCACAAAGUUUGCGUGACCUGUCAACUUUUUUCAAGCUCAGCCAUCACCCUGGGAUUGGGGCAUCUAAGGGCAGGGAGGAACAGGUGUCCAAAGGAGAAAUGCUGGUGCCUGAGAGUAUGUUUCCAGUUGUAUUAAGUUUCUUACUUGGUGUAUUUUUGACCUGUCUUAGUUUCUUUCCUUCUUGUGUCUAUGCUGUUUUGCUUGCUAUUUGUUGUAUGUCCUCUGUCAGCCAUUCAGGAGUUGUAAAAUGGAAGGUGUUUCUACUCACAUGUUUUAUGGGUGGAACUGACGGGUUAAGCAUGGUUUGUAGCAGCAGCUUUCAGAAAGAGUGAAAGGUAAUAAAUGUGUUACCAUGGCUUUGGGUAGGUUUUGGGUAUCUGGGGCAUAUGGCCCUUCUUAGAAACAAAUGAGUAUUUCAGGACCCUCAACUACCAGUAGGUCUUACUAGGGAAAUGGGUAGAUUUGUUCCCUGUCCCUUUGUUCCCCAUGACUAUGUUCAGCUGUUAAGGGAUUUAAGUAGGUAUUUACAGGGGAAAAAAGUGUUGUUUCCCCUUCCUCACCUUACCAGUUAAGACUAGUGAUGACACUUUAGGUGGUGGAAUUGAAACACAAACCCAACUUCUGACCACAUGGGCCACAGGCAGUUGGCUUAAAGCCCUUAGUGUGGGGAGGUGGGAAGGGCAGAUUGACUUCUGCUUUCUUCUCAGAGAAGCUUGGUUGUUUUUGUUUUUGUGUCUCGUGUGUAGGGGGGCGGCGGGGGAGGUGCAGGGUGGAGACGGGAGGUGUUAGUGGGGUGGUGGUUACCUUUGGUUUGGUCUGGUAGAGUGUGUGUCCUUUCUCUUCAGUUGCAUUGAGGCUGUUAAGGGUAUCAUUUCUCUAGCUGAUAUUUUUGCAGCUAGAUUUUGCAGUCUUGAUUUUUACUAGAAGAUCUGUUAGCUCCAGCUUUCUUACUUGAAGCAUUAGUUCUUAACUGCCAGUUUGAAGCUGCUCCUGAGUAGACGGUCUCUAUGAAAAGUUUUGGAUUUGAUUCGGUGUUACUUUCUAAUGUUUGCUAGAAGUUGUCUUUGGAAAUGCUAAUCUUAAUAGGUCUCUUCCUUUGUCAUGUGUCAUUAGCCUUUUGGCUGUUUACCUUAGGGCUCUCUGAGGGAGAGGCGGGUGGGGCACAGGGGAAAACUGGUUACUCUGAGAGAGAGAAAGAACUGGUUCAGGGCUCUUAGGCAGAAUCCCCAGCCCUAGACUUCAUCUGGAACCAUUCGAUAGCACCAAUAAAAACACCUUCUUAGCACCUGUUAUAUUCCAGGGAGUGUUCUAAGCUUUUUAUACAGCUCUCCUUCAGUCUCCAUUUCUCUCCCAUCCACAGUCCCGUCUGUGAGGCAGGUAUUUACUUUGUUCUCUUUCCAGAUGAGGAAAUUGAGGCCCUGAAAGAUUGUUACAGGGGAAAGAAAAAUCGGAGCAAUUGGGAAUUCUGGUUUCAUCUCAUGGAUAGAAAAAUGAGCCAUUUACGUGAGGAAAAGUGAUACUUCUGAAUCCCGCUCUUCAGUAAUGAGAACUAGACGGUUUUCACUUGACGUCUACUUUGUGGUAGUGGGGAACCCCCUUUCCAGAGGUUUUUGAGAAGGAUUGCUAACAAGGGUUUUCUAGAUUCUGGGGGAAGAAGUUCAAGAAAGUCCAGCAACAUUGUCAUUAGAAAAAUGGUCUUCAUCCAGUGCUAGUCUUAGAAUCCUGAAGCUUCAUUUUCAGCACAGUUUGAAAGGCAGCAAAGUAGAAGAGGCUGUACAGGGGAGGAGAAACACUGAGGAGAGAUGUAUUACAGAGACCUUGAAGUCCGUGUGUUAAGAUAGGAAAGAAGCAGAGACCCGCAUUCACAAAAUGAAAACAAAAGAAUGUGCAGUGUCUCAGGUCAGAGCCAAAAGGUUUUAGCUUACCUAGUUAAUUUCUUAGGUUUACAUCUUGGUUCUUUCCUUAUCUUAUAUGUAUAUAUAAGCUUAGGCUUCCUGAACCAUUUAUUUCCCUUUGCAAAAGAGACUAAAGGACAUUUUUUAGCAGACAUAAAGGGCCACUGUAGCAGUUUAGCUGGAGUGUAAUCAGAAACUAUUCAUCAUUUUCUGUCCCCUCCUGUCCUAGGCUGACUGGUUCCCUGAUGUGUUACCUGCUUCUGCCACUGAUUGAAACUGCAGAACUUCUCAUUCGUCCCCAAGACUUCCAGUAGGGAAUCAGCUCUAAAAGAAACCAGACCAACGUUUGCCAGCCCCUUCAUUCUGCUACCUCUAUGUGAGGAAUGGAUAGAAUGCGUUCAGGGCAUCAUCGUGCAAAGCUCCAGUAGCAGUGACGCCUACACGGAAGACUUGGAACUGCAAACAGAGGCUGGGGUCACCUCAGUGGCAUCUGACGCCGUCCAACCAGAAGCUCGAUUUUUGUUUGGGGCGGGGGGUUGGGGAGUGUGAAGAAGCAGACUGUACUAAAGAAGUAAAACAAUUUCGUG